rnacentral:rRNA from 1 species
CCUACGGGAGGCAGCAGUAGGGAAUCUUUCACAAUGGGCGAAAGCCUGAUGGAGCAACGCCGCGUGAAGGAUGAAGGCCUUCGGGUUGUAAACUGCUUUUAUAAGUGAGGAAUAUGACGGUAACUUAUGAAUAAGGAUCGGCUAACUACGUGCCAGCAGCCGCGGUCAUACGUAGGAUCCGAGCAUUAUCCGGAGUGACUGGGCGUAAAGAGUUGCGUAGGUGGCAAGGUAAGUAGAUAGUGAAAUCUGGUGGCUCAACCAUUCAGACUAUUAUCUAAACUAUCUAGCUCGAGACUGUUAUGGGUAACUGGAAUUUCUAGUGUAGGAGUGAAAUCCGUAGAUAUUAGAAGGAACACCGAUGGCGUAGGCAGGUUACUGGGCCAUUUCUGACACUAAGGCACGAAAGCGUGGGGAGCGAACGGGAUUAGAUACCCUAGUAGUC